rnacentral:rRNA from 1 species
UACGUAGGUCCCGAGCGUUGUCCGGAUUUAUUGGGCGUAAAGCGAGCACAGGUGGUUUAUUAAGUCUGGUGUAAAAGGCAGUGGCUCAACCAUUGUAUGCAUUGGAAACUGGUAGACUUGAGUGCAGGAGAGGAGAGUGGAAUUCCAUGUGUAGCGGUGAGAUGCGUAGAUAUAUGGAGGAACACCGGUGGCGAAAGCGGCUCUCUGGCCUGUAACUGACACUGAGGCUCGAAAGCGUGGGGAGCAAACAGG